CUCUGUGCAUGUCCUGGCGCGACUUUAACUCUAGCAAGCGGUCACCUGUACCAACUAGGACCAAUCCUCAUCUCAUCCUCCGCCCUCAUCUCAUCCAUGCCCCAGCCGUCCCCCGCCCAGCUACUCCUCCGGCCGCCAUGAUAUUCCGCCCAACCUCCACCGUCUGAUGUGCUUCUCCGUCCAACCUCCAAGCGAGCUCCUCUAGCCGCCAUAUGCUCCUCUGCCUCCUGCACCCAAGCUCCAUGGCAGCGAGCUCCACCGGUCACGCGCCAGCGCAAAGGUAGCGAGCUCCUCUGGCCGCCACCGUGUAGUUCGCCUGCCCGAGCAACAAGGUUGCGAGCUUCCCCAGCCAAGAAAACAAGUGCCGUGAUAAGUGCGAGUCAUUGAUGAAAUCUGGCGGAGCAGAUCUCAGCUGGCUUCUAGUAGAAGCCUUCGAGUAGCUAUCCCAGAAGGUUGGUUCCGGCUCGAUGCCUCACCUACAGAUGUGAGGUUGCAAUUUCUGAAGUGGGAGAACCAGAAAAGAUCUCGCUGGGAGAGCAGCACCACCACCGCGCGUGCUCGUGGCACAUUACAGAAUGGCCCUGGCGCCCAAGAGUUCCAGCAGCCAUUUCUUCCACUGGUGUCGCCGUCCUCCAUCGACUUGACGUCGGGCGAGACACACCGUCCCGCCGAGAAUCGGAGGAGACGACGCAGCGCGUCCGCAGCGUUCGGCUCUCCUUCUGCGAAAAGCUCCUGGAGCGAUUAGCUAGCGACGUUCAUGGACACCCUGUGCCCAUCAGCAGGUUGGUCAGGUUCACUGCUUCACAUGUCAAGUGGAUGAGGCAGUAUUGAACAUUUUUGUAAGUAAAGUCGCUGCAUCUUUUCUCUCCGUCAUUGCCUGUGGUAAAAUGAACGUGUAAUUAUUUCUUUCAAUCCAAAUGGUUCAGCAGUGAAAACAUGUACUGCAUGUAGGAGUAUUUUAUUUGGCUCAUGACAUUGUCCAGACCUCGAUGACUAAGUGAUAAACUAAGUGUGUUUUUAAGA